CCUACGGGAGGCAGCAGUGGGGAAUAUUGCACAAUGGGCGAAAGCCUGAUGCAGCCAUGCCGCGUGUGUGAAGAAGGCUCUAGGGUUGUAAAGCACUUUCAGUGGGGAGGAAAAGCUUAAAGCUAAUACCUUUGAGCCUUGACGUUACCUGCAGAAGAAGCACCGGCAAACUCCGUGCCAGCAGCCGCGGUAAUACGGAGGGUGCGAGCGUUAAUCGGAAUUACUGGGCGUAAAGCGCGCGUAGGUGGUUUGAUAAGCUAGCUGUGAAAGCCCCGGGCUCAACCUGGGAACUGCAGUUAGAACUGUCUGACUAGAGUAUAGUAGAGGGUGGCGGAAUUUCCUGUGUAGCGGUGAAAUGCGUAGAUAUAGGAAGGAACAUCAGUGGCGAAGGCGGCCACCUGGACUAAUACUGACACUGAGGUGCGAAAGCGUGGGGAGCA
rnacentral:rRNA from 1 species